rnacentral:rRNA from 1 species
CCUUUCGUCCUCUUUUUUUCCUCUUUCCCCCUUUUUUCCCCCCUUCUGCAGCGACGCCGCGUGCGCGAAGAAGUAUUUCGAUAUGUAAAGCUCUAUCAGCAGGGAAGAAACUGACGGUACCUGACUAAGAAGCACCGGCUAAAUACGUGCCAGCAGCCGCGGUAAUACGUAUGGUGCAAGCGUUAUCCGGAUUUACUGCGUGUAAAGGGGGCGUAGACGGAUAGGCAAGUCCGGAGUGAAAGCCCGGGGCUCAACCCCGGGACUGCUUUGGAAACUGUUUAUCUAGAGUGCUGGAGAGGUAAGUGGAAUUCCUAGUGUAGCGGUGAAAUGCGUAGAUAUUAGGAGGAACACCAGUGGCGAAGGCGGCUUACUGGACAGUAGCUGACGUUGAGGCUCGAAAGCGUGGGGAGCAAACAGGAUUAGAUACCCUGGUA